UAUUAACAUUUUAAAAGUCACUGAGUGUUAAAUAAAGUACCUUGUGCAUUUCGUAAACUACAAAUGGACAGAUGGACAAUUUUUACAUUGACCUUACUUACAACAGUACUCGGUACAGAAAUCACAUAUGGAGAAGCCAAAGGAGCAUAUCCUAUAUCAGUAGAUUGUACCUAUUAUAAAUGCUUAAAUCUUGGAGUAAACGAUCACUGUAAAGACGUUUGCAAACAUCAUUUUGGAGGUUACGGAUAUUGUUAUGCAUUCAAAUGUUAUUGCGAAGAAUUAAAUCCAAAAUAUGCUCAUUAUUAUAUGAGAUUUAUGCAAAGAGAUCAGGCAGAUAAUUAAUUAUAAAAAAAUAUGUGUAUUAUUAAUAAAAAUGUACGUCGAUAUAUAAUACGCGAACAUUAUUGCAAAUAAAAAUAAAGUAUUUAAAA